UACGUAGGGGGCAAGCGUUGUCCGGAAUCAUUGGGCGUAAAGCGCGUGUAGGCGGUCCGGUAAGUCGGCUGUGAAAGUCCAGGCUCAACCCUGGGAUGCCGGUCGAUACUGCCGGACUAGAGUCCGGAAGAGGAGAGUGGAAUUCCUGGUGUAGCGGUGAAAUGCGCAGAUAUCAGGAAGAACACCCGUGGCGAAGGCGGCUCUCUGGGACGGUACUGACGCUGAGACGCGAAAGCGUGGGGAGCGAACAGG
rnacentral:rRNA from 1 species